rnacentral:rRNA from 1 species
CGUACGAUACGAGUUUGAUCAUGGCUACAGAGCGAACGCUGGCGGCAGGCCUAACACAUGCAAGUCGAACGGAUCCUUCGGGAUUAGUGGCGGACGGGUGAGUAACACGUGGGAACGUGCCCUUUGGUUCGGAACAACUCAGGGAAACUUGAGCUAAUACCGGAUGUGCCCUUCGGGGGAAAGGUUUAUCGCCAUUGGAGCGGCCCGCGUCUGAUUAGCUAGUUGGUGGGGUAAAGGCCCACCAAGGCGACGAUCAGUAGCUGGUCUGAGAGGAUGAUCAGCCACAUUGGGACUGAGACACGGCCCAAACUCCUACGGGAGGCAGCAGUGGGGAAUCUUGCGCAAUGGGCGAAAGCCUGACGCAGCCAUGCCGCGUGAAUGAUGAAGGUCUUAGGAUUGUAAAAUUCUUUCACCGGGGACGAUAAUGACGGUACCCGGAGAAGAAGCCCCGGCUAACUUCGUG